rnacentral:rRNA from 1 species
UAGGUAGAACUCUGCGGAAGGAUCAUUA